GAUUGUCUAAUGCAACUUGGCUGACAAAGAAGAACUAGUGCCGUGUGACCAGCUCUCUACAGACAUUGGGAAAUGUGGUGCAAACUACAUUCUGAGAACAUCAAAUCUGAUUUUGAGGCCAUGUGUGAAGCUGGAAAUUUCCAAGCGAUGCAAAUUAUUGCCAGAGAAUUUUCCUCGCAUCUGAAGUGUUGACACUCGAGGGAGUGGGUUUCAGUUCACAAAACCAGUCAUUCAAAAAUCCUGCAUAAAACAUCCUCUGUGCUACUGUUUGCUGGUGGAAUUCCUCUCUGGAGCAUCUGAUGGGGUUUGUUCUCAGCCAGCAUAUUGAGUAACUCUUGCCUCUACGAGUGAGUGCAUCAAGCACUGAGUAUGUUCACCAAAGCCCACACAAAUGCCUGAGACUGUUACUAUGCAGACUGAUUUCAUGAGCUUCUAAGCUUUCUUGUGAGCAUGUAUCUGGUCCACUUUUGGAGAAUCUCAGUUUGAAAAUCACCUGUUCUUCACCAUUAUGCUUCCUCUCGGCCAUGAAGUGUAGAUAUGUUGGAAAAGUGCAUAUGGCUGUUAUGAAAGGGCUGUCAACAACUCAGAAACUUCCUUCUAGAAGCUGUGAGAUAUGCUGAUCACUCCCCACCACUAUAUCAAAUGUAAAGCAGAUUUUUUAGACCAAACUGGCAUGAAUUAUGACUCUUCUCCAAAGAAUGAGAAUCUCAAUUGUCCUAACUUCCACCAUCUGCUGGCACAGCUCCAACAUUAUUCCUGGAGUACUAUAAUCUUUGAUAGAUGGAAGGUUUUAUAUGAUUGAGGAAAUUGAAUAGCAUUACGGCCAAGUGAUAUCCCAAUAUACAUGGGAUAGGAUGCAAGAUCAGGAGUUCUACGAUUCUAGUCCAAACUCUUAAAUGCAUUUUUUUAGGCUGCUUAAUCCUCACAGGGGGACUAACAGGUUUCAACAAUUUGUAAAGUACUUGUAGAUCUUCAGAAGGAAAAUGCAUAUUUCUCAGCACUUUAGGAGAUGAAGUUCUGUAGAUGGAGCUAAUUUUUCAAGCUUCUAUUCAUUUUUGAAUUUCAAAGGUCUUUUGUUUCAGUGAACCAGAAAGCACAUAUUUAGGUGAUGAUUUCAUAUCUUCCAAAUGAUAGUUUUUCAUGUAAUCAUCAUAAUAGCACUUUUCAUAGGAGACUCCCAAAGUGGUUUCCCAGACCUUUGUAAGGUCUCAUGCAAUACUUACUCAUGCUGUAAAUAUAACUACUUCUACUGCACACACCAGGGGAGAGGAUCAGACAGGUUAAAUGUCA